rnacentral:tRNA from 1 species
GGGGAUUUAGCUCAGUGGUAGAGCGCUUGCCUAGCAAGCACAAGGCCCUGUGUUCACUCCCCA